GAUGAAGAACGUAGUGAAAUGCGAUAAUUAAUGUGAAUUGCAGAAUUCAGUGAAUCAUCGAGUCUUUGAACGCACAUUGCGCCCCCUGGUAUUCCGGGGGGCAUGCCUGUCCGAGCGUCAUUACAACCCUCAAGCUCAGCUUGGUGUUGGGCCCCGCCGCCCCGGCGGGCCCUAAAGUCAGUGGCGGUGCCGUCCGGCUCCGAGCGUAGUAAUUCUUCUCGCUCUGGAGGUCCGGUCGUGUGCUCGCCAGCAACCCCCAAUUUUUUUCAGGUUGACCUCGGAUCAGGUAGGGAUACCCGCUGAACUUAAGCAUAUCAAUAAGCGGAGGA
rnacentral:misc_RNA from 1 species